AAACAGAUGUGGGCCAGGGGAGCAGAAAAGAGGAGAAGAACAUGGCCGCUGCUCUGUGGAUCUGCAGUGGGUUCACAGAGCCAUCUUAGAAUCAGGAGCAGAAAUGCAAGGAGGACCAGAGCAACCUACGCUGUCCUAGCCUUUUUGCUUAACAACCACAAUCCGACUGCUCCCAGCAGCCGCCAGAAGAAACACGCUAAUAUUAACUUACUGAAAUAAUCCAG
rnacentral:lncRNA from 1 species